rnacentral:sRNA from 1 species
CUUUCCAUCUUGAAAGCAUUGGAUGAUUCCUGUUGUUGGGGCUCUGACUUGAGAGGAAAAGCUUAGGGAGUUUGACAGAGUUCCAGGAAGGCUUCCUGUAAGAGGUGGCAUGAUGGUACUGUUAAUAAUUAUAACCAUUUGCUGUAUCACAUGUACCACAUGCCAGUCACUGUGUUACCUACAUACAUCAGCGAUGCCACUUCUUGCCAAGUCAUCCUUACAUCUCCUUGUGUGUGGAGUCCAGUUCUACUCACAGACAGCUCUUGCUAAAGAGCCGAGCAAGGAGUAACUGUGCAGCAGAUCUUUCACUUUAGGGCACAGUACCGACCCAAGGCCAGUCCCACUAUCUGUGAGUGAGUGGCCCAGCUUUAGUAGAUGAGGUGGACCAAUCCGAUCAGCUCUCCUUGGGAAUGUGAAAUAAGAGAUGCAGAGGGAUGUUGCCAGUUAGUUGUGGGGAGCUAAGCUGAGAGGUCCAGUACACCAAGAUGCUGGUUGGGUUGGGAGUGCUAUGGACUAGGUCAAGUGCCUGUUGAACAGCUAAAUGUAGUUGGCCAAGCAAGGACAUGGGGCAGUUGUGCAGAGAGAAGCAGGCUUGUGACGUGGAUGAGCCAUAUGAACGACAGACCUCUAGAGCAGAGAGGUUCAUGCUACAGCUAGACAUUUCCUCAAGCUCCAGGUACAAUGAGCUCUAUUUGAAUUCCUACCCUUGGAUUUCUGCUUCCUGAUCUUGCUUCAUUUGGUUUCUGUUUCUUGCAUCCAAAAGAGGCCCAACCCAAGCAACCCUUUCCAUAGAUUCCAUUUAAUUUGUGCUUCAUCCCCUCAGAGCACUUCUUGUACAAUUAGAAGGAAUUUGCACUCUGAUGCCAAGUGGACUGUUCUAAGCAUCUGAGUUAGGAAAAUGGGGUUGGGGUUGUAGUGCUGAACCACCACACCUGACAUUACUGUUUGGGAAGGUCACCAGCCUUCUCAUACUGAAGGGGAAGAGCCAAGCCUUUGUUGAAAUAUACAUGCAAGAGGUUGCUGACACCACACGUAUCAGUGCCAUGCUGCCAGUCCAACUAUGUCUAGUUCUUCAAGCACAAGGUGCUCAAGACCAAUAGCUCCCCACACAAGGUGCAUGCCAAUCGGGUAAUCUUACAGGUGGUGAAGUCAGUACAUUUGAGAAACCUGGUCUUCAUGGGCUCCAGUGGCCCACAUACACCAAGAUGGUGAUGGUUGACCAGAACACCGAACUCAGGAUCAUCAUGGGAAAAUCUCUGCUACUCAGUGAUCCUGGAUGCUCUGCACCAGGCCUUCUUCAAGUGUGGCACUGUCCUCAGUAUCAUCAUCUUCACUAAGACCAACCAUUUCCAGGCAUACUAUCAGCAGCAGUUGCAACUGCAUCAUCAUUUCAAGUCUGAAGGUGUCAGGGAUUCCAUCUUGCUGGCUGGCAACCUGAACACAAGAAAGCACAGAGCCAAGCCCCUUUAUUCUCUUCAGUAUCUAUGGUUAUGUGAAGCAGGUGAAGAUCUUGUUCAACAAGGCGAAGACAGCAGGUAGGCCCAGCUGGCCAUGAGGCACCCAAACAAACUAUAUGGGGAGCCAAUGCAUAUUACAACAUCAAAGCACCAGAGUGUGCAGCUGCCUUGUGAGGGGCAGGAAGACUGGCUUCACCAAAGACGCUGAUAGCUCACCAGUGCACUGCUUCAAGAAGCUGGGCCCCAAGUUCUUUAAGAAUUUCUUCCUGUUCUCAGCCAUCCGGCAACUCAUCAACAUCCCUUCCUCAGUGUCAGAGCAGUUCCUCAAGAACUUCUCAAGCAACAAGGGCAUGACCAAGGGCUUCAAAUUCUUUCAGGGACUGCAGCCCUGAAUUCAUGCUCUCUGUCCCAUCCAUCAUCCCUACUAGAAGAACUACAUGAUGGUUCUGAUCCAGAUAAGUUUGUUGGAGGAAGAAGUGCAGGCACCCAUUAAGCUGCAAAUCCACGACCAAAGCAUCCCUGAACAAAAAGAAUAAUGCUGGUGGGAUUGUUACUCCAGAAUUCAGGAUAUAUUAUAGAUCUCUAGUAAUGAAAAUAUGGCACUGACAUCAAAGAGACAUGUAUGCCAAUGGGACAAAAUAGAAGACCCAAACAUGAGUACUUGUAACUGCAGCCAUCUGCUAUUUGAUAAAGAGGCAAAAAACAUACCCUGGAGAAAAGACAGAGCAUCUUCAACAAGUGGUGGGUAAAGCUGAAGACUGUAUGGCGACAUGCAGAUGAAUGGAUCGGACUCAUACCUGUCCAAUCAUACCCAACAUUAGAUCCAAGUGUACCAAUGACUUCAAUUUGAAACCUGCAACAUUAAAGCUGCUGGAAGUAAACAUAUGCAGUUUCCUUCAAGAGAUAAAUGAAGGGAAGGACCUUCUCAACAGGACCACAUUUGUUCAGGAAUUAAGGUCAGCAAUUGACAACAGGGACCUCAUAAAACUGAAGAGCUUUUGUGCAGCUAAGGAAAUAAUCAAGUGAAGAGGAAGCCUACAGAAUGGGAGAGGGUCAUUGCCAGCUACACAUCUGUUAGAGGGCUAAUAUCUACAAUAUAUGAGGAACUCAAAGAACAAAGAGUCAAGGAAACAAACAGCCCAAUUAAAAAGUGGGCUGGGGAUGUAGACAAUUUCAACAGAAGAAAUAGAAAGGGCUAAGAAAUACCUCAGAAAAAGUGUCCAACUUCCUUAGCAAUUAGGGUAAUGUAAACUAACCCAACGUUGACAAUUCUUAACGAGACUACUGACAACAAAUGCUGCUGCAGAUAUGUCAGCGGGAAUGUCAACUGGCACAGCCACUCUGAAAGUCCAUAUGGAGGAUCCUCAAAAAGCUAAAAAUAGCUCUACAAAAUAACCCAGCUCUACCCUUCGGCAUAUGCCCAAGGGGUAUCCUCCUCUACAGAUUCUUACCUGACUCUGUUCACUGUUGCUCUAUAGCUAGGAAAUGGAAACAAAUGAGAUGUCUGACAACUGACAAUUGAAUAAUGAAGAAGGUCUAAGAAUCCAGUAGUUAUUCAGUGCCAGAGGCUGGAUAUCUCAGCCGAUCUUCAGAAUAUGUCAGAGCCCUGGCAAAGUAGGCUCUAAUGCUCGUAAAGGGAUGGACUUGCUAACAAGGCGAGAGCAAGCACGCAAGGAAAGAGCAAGCUGCCUUCUUCGAUGUCCUUCCUAUAGGCUUCCAACAGAAGGUGUGGCCCAGGUUAAAGGUAGAUCUUUCCCAUCUCUAAGGAUCAGGAUUAAAAGUGAUCCUUCUCACUUCAGAUUAUUUAAUUAAAAAGGACCUCACAGGGAUAACCACUUGAGUUUAAUUAAUCCCAAAAGUAGUCAAGUUGACAGUCAAGAAUAGCCAUCACAGAAACCAGAGGUGGAGCUGGGUGGCUGGGUGUUGGACUUGACACAGGAAUAACAAGCAGUACACAGGUGAUAUGGAGUAGGAAAUAGCAAAAAAUAGGGAAGGGGUCCAACUUGGGAGGAGAGAGGGAGGUCAAUACAGACAGAGAAGGGAUGUGGGACAGAUAAAACUAAUAUUAUUUGAUAAAGCCCCAGAGAAUCAUUUUAUAUUUACCUAAGAUUAUAUACAAUAGAAGAACAAGUGUAUGUGUAUAAUGGAUUGUGUGUGUGUGUGUGUGUGUGUGUGUGUGUGUGUGUGUGUGUAUGUACUGACAAUGUUCCCCACAAGAAUCAUAGAUUAAAAGGUAGCCCAGUACCAAGCCUGGUUCAAAUGGCUAAGGUAGUCCAAGUGAUUCUGAGUAUAGAUGUAGCCCUUGGUUGCCUGUCAGCGGUGGAGGAUAGACCCCGUUGCUGAAUAGACCAAACACUUAGGAUAUACAAUCUUGAGCUGGAUGUGACCUAAAAACCUCUUUUCUGUGGUCUAGCUUCCACUGUUUCAGAAAAUACUAUGGAAGCUGUCAAGGGAGGAAAAUACUUAAACAGUCCUACCCAGUCUUACCUAUGAACCAGAACAAUUGCCAUCACGGUAAGACUGUAGGUAGAAUAAGUGACAAUAACAUGUUGGCAACCAAGAGCUCUGUCAUAGACUUAAAGCCCACCCACUAGGAGGGAAGUAAUGCCUGGUACUUGAAUCCUAGUCAACUUCAUGGGGCUAGUGAGGUUAUGGACUGCAGAAAAGAGUGCACUGCUGCCACUUUGCUAGACCAGCAUAAUUCCUAAUACAUUUUAAAUCUUAUCCUUAUACCCAGAGAUAAUGUAACUACCACCAGGAAGCCUGUCUCUACUGCAAAUGGAAACCAUCACAGGAAACCACAACUGGGCACACUGCACAGACUGGCAGAUUGGGGGAGCUCAGGCCCACGGACACGUAAAGCUCAGCUCUAUGGCCCAGGAAACACUGAGGAAGAGAGUGGAAAGAUUGUAAGAGCAAGAAUACCUGGAAGCCUGCGAAGUUUCUUCCAGAAAUGGCUGUAUAAAUAAAACCAGAACAAUGCCAAUGUCAAUGGAAAUUUUGACAUAGGAGAGCAAAAUUUUCACUGGACAGAGAACUCUAGGCAACCAAUGAGUCCUGGGAGAAUUAGCCUCUCCCAAGGAUAAGCCCAAAUACUGGUUGUCUGAUGCAGAGUGAUCAGACUAGAGACCAUUUAUACUCAAACAACAAAAGUGGACUCAGUAGCUUGGAUGUAUACACACAUAUACAUAGAUAUGCAUGUAACAAUAAUAACAGAACAAGCCCAUCAACCUGAGAGUAAGGGCUGGAUAGGUAGAGGCUGGAGGGAGGGAAGGCAGAGAGAGAAGCAAGGUGUAAUUCUGCUUUAAUUAAAAACUUAUCAACUGAAA